CUGCCCCGCUGAUCACGGACAACACCACGUACUUCCGCAGCAAGGUGUUCACGGGUUCCUGUGACGUCCUGGGAAUUCGUCACAAGAGCACGUCUGUGUAUUACCCACAGCCCAACAUCACGGCAAAGGGGAAAGGUGCCCUGGCUGCCAGAAAGGAUGUAUGCUGUCACCCGAGCUGGACUAUUGCUGCUGCCCGAGAAUCAUGGUCGCUGCGUAGCUGUCUCGUGUUCCUGGGCCGACCCGGGCGUAUCCCUCGUUUGGCUAAAUAAAUAAAUUGUUGUUCUUUGUUUCGA